AUGUCUUGGUGGAAGGAGCAUUGAAACUACUGUUGAGGAAGCUUCUGUUGGAUAUCUCACUACAUUUCCACAUUAAACUGAAGUCGACCCGGUUGGGACUUUCUUGAACUAAAACGUGACUGUAGUUUGAAAGUGACUGAAAUGUCAUCACAACCAGAGACAUCAGUAAAAGAGGAGACAAAGGAAGAGGUUUUCGAUGAGUACUCGUAUAUGGUCUCCAAUCAAACGGUGGAUGUGAAGCCUGGAUUUAAGCAAGAAUGUAAAACUGAAGUGGAUGAGUCACUUAUUUCUCAAGAUUUUGUGAGCAGUAACAAGGAUAUCAAGGAAGGAUUAAAGGAAGAAGAUGUUGGACAAAGCAGUAAUGGUGGAUCUUCUGCAAAAUGUGAUGUUGAAAAUAUCCAGUCUGAUGGGAGAGAAAAGACAGAUGAAAACGGAUGCACAGAAAGACCAGAUAGUCAACAAGUGCACAGCUUUCAGUGUUCUUCUUGUGAAAAGACUUUUCCUAAAAUGAAACAUCUCAGGGCACACCAGAUAAUCCACUCAGGGAUAAAGCCAUGUCAGUGCUCUGUGUGUGAAAGGAGUUGUACUCACAUGAAGAAUCUCAGGGUACACGAGACAAUCACCUCAGGGGUAAAGCCAUUUCAGUGUACUGUCUGUGGAAAAAGUUUUAGUCAAAUAUGUUCUCACAUGGCUCACCAAAGGACCCAUUCAGGUGAAAGGCUAUUUCAGUGCACUGACUGCGGAAAGAUUUUUAAUCAAACGUAUGCUCUUACAGAACACCAGAGGAUUCAUUCAGGUGAAAAGCCACUUCCUUGCUCCGAGUGUGGAAAAUGCUUUCGCCAUAUGUCAAGCCUAAAAAAUCACAAGAGAAGGCAUCUAGUCGGGCGGAGUGUUCCAAAGAGAAGGAGCAGCUACAUGGAAGGCCACCAGUGACAAAGCCUUCUGUUUUGCUGCUCCUUUUCUUUGGAACAAUCUGCCCAACUACAUUCAGAAUGUCCCCUCACUGGCCAUGUUUAGACAACACCUUAAACCACAUCUUUUCCUGGAGGCUUAUAGCAGAGACAGUAUGUAUAAGAGACGGAACACUCGAAAAACCUUCCAUAGGAAUGAACGAGAGCAUUUGGCUACGCGAACAUAGCGUUUGCCAGCGUCCCUCCCACCUGUCCGGUAACGAGAGCCAAUUGCUUGCUGAGCUGCACUGUCACUUAUCCAAUCAUCUUGCCGUCUCGACACAACCUUUUACAACUACUCUUAGUCAAGCGGCAUGCCCUGAGAAUCUGCUUCAGCCGGUCGGUUGCUGAUGACAUGUGCGGUUCACAUCGGGUAGCUACUCGCAUUGGGUUGCCACUUCAUCUCACAGACCGUGAAGGAGAAAGUAUGUCGUGAAAUUUUGCGCAUUACUAAUCUGAAAUAGCAUCCCAAAUACUCAGAAUGGAAGCGUAGCCAAGAUAGCGGCUGAGUGAAAGGACUUAACCUUAACGACUUUGCUUAUAGCUACUAGUUCCACAAGCACAGGUACCUAUAUGUGCAUGCACACACACGCUCACGCAUUGACACACUCUCACACGCACACAUUCCUACACUGAUACCUUGUUGAUCGUCCUUGGGUGUUUUGGAAGGCGCUAUGUAAAACUAAGUACUGUAUUAUUAUUAUUCAAGUGAACAGGCCAUUUCAGUGUUCUGAAUGUGGAGAGAAAAUGUAGUCCAACAGGCUGUUGUACUAAAGUUCUGUCCACAUUCAGAACACUCAAACAGCGCAUCUCAAGAGACACCAGAAUAUUUGCACGACGACAAAACUAUGAAAUUAAAUUGAAUCAAUGUUAAUGACACAUGCUCUGCACAUCUAUGUUUACCAUUAAUGCUAUUCCAGUAUUUUUCAACAUUGUUUUUUUUAAUAUGUCUUUGUGCUAUGCAUGCUAGUAACUGUAUUCAGAAGUGCAAAGGGCACCAGAUAUCAGAUACUGGAUAUCAGAAGGGCAAUGUACACCAACCUUGAAUAAAAUAAGCAUGUAAAAAUUCA